GAUGAACGCUGGCGGCGUGCCUAAUACAUGCAAGUCGAGCGAAUGGAUUAAGAGCUUGCUCUUAUGAAGUUAGCGGCGGACGGGUGAGUAACACGCGGGUAACCUGCCCAUAAGACUGGGAUAACUCCGGGAAACCGGGGCUAAUACCGGAUAACAUUUUGAACAGCAUGGUUCGAAAUUGAAAGGCGGCUUCGGCUGUCACUUAUGGCUGGACCCGAGGCGCAUUAGCUUGUUGGUGAGGUAAUGGCUCACCAAGGCGACGAUGCGUAGCCGACCUGGGAGGGUGAACGGCCACACUGGGACUGAGACACGGCCCAGACGCCUACGGGAGGCAGCAGUAGGGAAUCUUCCGCAAUGGACGAAAGUCUGACGGAGCAACGCCGCGUGAGUGAUGAAGGCUUUCGGGUCGUAAAACUCUGUUGUUAGGGAAGAACAAGUGCUAGUUGAAUAAGCUGGCACCUUGACGGUACCUAACCAGAAAGCCACGGCUAACUACGUGCCAGCCGCCGCGGUAA
rnacentral:rRNA from 1 species